GCAGCACGGAGCUUGCUCUGGUGGCGAGUGGCGAACGGGUGAGUAAUGCGUCGGAACGUAUCCAAUAAUGGGGGAUAACGCAGCGAAAGCUGUGCUAAUACCGCAUACGCCCUCCGGGGGAAAGCAGGGGAUCUUAGGACCUUGCGUUAAUGGAGCGGCCGACGUCUGAUUAGCUAGUUGGUAGGGUAAAGGCCUACCAAGGCGACGAUCAGUAGCUGGUCUGAGAGGAUGAUCAGCCACACUGGGACUGAGACACGGCCCAGACUCCUACGGGAGGCAGCAGUGGGGAAUUUUGGACAAUGGGCGCAAGCCUGAUCCAGCCAUUCCGCGUGAGUGAAGAAGGCCUUCGGGUUGUAAAGCUCUUUCAGGAGGGAAGAAACGAUUGUGGCUAAUACCCAUGAUUAAUGACGGUACCUUCAGAAGAAGCACCGGCUAACUACGUGCCAGCAGCCGCGGUAAUACGUAGGGUGCGAGCGUUAAUCGGAAUUACUGGGCGUAAAGCGUGCGCAGGCGGUUUUUCAAGUCUGAUGUGAAAUCCCCGGGCUUAACCUGGGAACUGCGUUGGAAACUGAAAGACUAGAGUGCGGCAGAGGGGGGUAGAAUUCCACGUGUAGCAGUGAAAUGCGUAGAUAUGUGGAGGAAUACCGAUGGCGAAGGCAGCCCCCUGGGUCGACACUGACGCUCAUGCACGAAAGCGUGGGUAGCAAACAGGAUUAGAUACCCUGGUAGUCCACGCCCUAAACGAUGUCAACUAGUUGUUGGGGANGGAGACCUCCUUAGUAACGCAGCUAACGCGUGAAGUUGACCGCCUGGGGAGUACGGUCGCAAGAUUAAAACUCAAAGGAAUUGACGGGGGCCCGCACAAGCGGNGGNUUAUGUGGAUUAAUUCGAUGCAACGCGAAAAACCUUACCUACCCNUGACA
rnacentral:rRNA from 1 species